rnacentral:misc_RNA from 1 species
UCCGAGUUGACCCCGGCAGUCUCCCAUGAGUCCCCACCAUCACGUGCUGGCAACAUGGAACGAGGGUUGCGCUCGUUGCGGGACUUAACCCAACAUCUCACGACACGAGCUGACGACAGCCAUGCAGCACCUGUGUUCCAGCCAGCCGAACUGAAGGGGUCCAUCUCUGGUCCCCAUACUGGACAUGUCAAAGGUUGGUAAGGUUCUGCGCGUUGCUUCGAAUUAAACCACAUACUCCACCGCUUGUGCAGGCCCCCGUCAAUUUCUUUGAGUUUUAAUCUUGCGACCGUACUCCCCAGGCGGAAUGCUUAAUCCGUUAGGUGUGACACCGAAGAGCAAGCCCCCCGACGUCUGGCAUUCAUCGUUUACAGCGUGGACUAC